GACCCAUAUCAUGGUGUAGUGGUAGAACGCGCUCCCGUUAUGAGUGAAACGUGGGUUCAUUUCCCAUCUGAGGUUG